UACGUAGGGUGCAAGCGUUGUCCGGAAUUAUUGGGCGUAAAGAGCUCGUAGGCGGUCUGUCGCGUCGGCUGUGAAAACCCGGGGCUCAACCCCGGGCCUGCAGUCGAUACGGGCAGGCUAGAGUGUGGUAGGGGAGAUCGGAAUUCCUGGUGUAGCGGUGAAAUGCGCAGAUAUCAGGAGGAACACCGGUGGCGAAGGCGGAUCUCUGGGCCAUUACUGACGCUGAGGAGCGAAAGCGUGGGGAGCGAACAGG
rnacentral:rRNA from 1 species